AUUGAACGCUGGCGGCAGGCCUCACACAUGCAAGUCGAGCGAGCGGCGGACGGGUGAAUAAUGUCUGGGCAUAUGCCUGAUGGAGGGGGCUCACUCCUGGAAACGGGAGCUAAACCCGCAUAACAUCAGAUGUGCCCAGAUGGGAUUAGCGAGUAGGUAGGGUAAUGGCUCACCUAGGCGACGAUCCCUAGCUGGUCUGAGAGUCUGCCCAGCCACACUGGAACUGAGACACGGCCCAGACUCCUACGGGAGGCAGCAGUGGGGAAUAUUGCACAAUGGGCGCAAGCCUGAUGCAGCCAUGCCGCGUGUGUGAAGAAGGCCUUCGGGUUGUAAAGUACUUUCAGUGGGGAGGCGUUACUGAAAGAAGAAGCACCGGCUAACUCCGUGCCAGCAGCCGCGGUAAUAC
rnacentral:rRNA from 1 species